rnacentral:pre_miRNA from 9 species
UCUCGAUAGCGAAAAAGUUAAAGCAAAUUUGUAUGGAGUCGGGAACGUUUGCCUACGUUUGCCGCUAGGGGCGCUGUUCCAACUCCACACAAAUUUAAGUUAACUAUUACGUUAUCGA